GGUAACUGUAAAGCUACUAACAGAGAAAGAAGGAGACUCAAGAAGAAGAAAAGUCAGAGGAAAAGCGUGAAGAAAGAUAAGAACCAAUCCUUUUAUUACAACAUUAUUUGUAUCACAAUGCUACAUAACAGAAACUGCAAAUCCCUUUAUUUAUGUAUUUGAGAUGAUAUACUUGUAAAUAGUGAAAUGGGUAAAACAAACAAUAUAAAUAUUAAGGAAAUAAUAUAAAUCUAUUGUUAUGUGUAGCUAGCCCUAGCGAGCUGAAGAGAGGGCGAAGGGAGCAGCAAGGAGCGAAGCAGAAAGCUAAGCUCGACAGCUAUCCCUAACAAGCAGAAGAGAGGGCGAAGAGUAGCGAAGCAGGAAGCUAAGCUCGAGAGAUCGGGCAUUUAAGAAAAACGAAUUCAACUCUACAAGGGCUCAUGUCAUAUAUCUUGGCCAAAAACUCAUCCCUUGGAGGUCUGUAAAACAUAAUUUAAUAGCUCACUCUUCACCAAGGCUGAAUAUUGCUAUGUUGACACCACAAUUGCCAAGCUUCGGUGGAUUUGCACACCACUCCUCGAACUUGGUGCUUCUGCCUUGGGGUGUCAAAAAUUGACCUAAUAUGCCAACUCGAUUCGAACCUGACUCAAAAAAUCCUGGUUCUGGUUGAGCCAUGUAAAUUUCAAAUCGAAUUCUAGUUAAAUAUCUUAACUCAUUUAAUUUUUUCGGUCAAGUUCAGGUUGACUUGCCACCCCGAAAUUGACCCGAAACCGACCGCCAACUCUAUGACUUGAAAUUGGCCCAUCAACUUAGAUUUGACUCGUGAUUGACUCAAAAUUGAUCUGAUUUUGACCUGAAUAGUUGUUAUUCCUUAUGUUAAACGUGUUAUACAAGUUUGGUUCGGGUUGGCGGGUUGAGGGUGAGUCGUGUUCAAGUUGAACUUUCUAGCCCAUUUAAUAUUUGGGCUAGGUUCGGGUCGGCUCAAUUUUAGGUCAGACCCGAACCCGACCUACAAACCUGUUUUGAUACCCCUACUUCUGCUAGAGGCUUUGGUGAUCUAUUAUUACAAUGUGUGUCACUUAUCUUUGUGCGAUUUAUUCUUUCACUCAUGGAUGAAACUUAUUGCUAUUUACACUCAUUUAUUUGAGAAUAAGUCUAAAAUGGCAUCCUUCAUUUGGCCCAUGUUUUGUUUGAAGCAACCAGAGGAUACUCUCACUACAACACUUCCAUGCUACCACCCCUGCAUUGUUUGAGGCUAUUAGGGGAUACAAUCACCGGAACACAUCCACGCCAUCGGUUCUCUUUAUCGAGCAUCAAGGUUGAACUUUCCAAUUAAAGCUACCUUGAAGGGCCGUUUAAAGGAAUACAAGAAAGAUUAAGGAAUAAAUGCUAAAUUGUUGUAAUUUGUUGGCUUGUUAUUUCUUUGGCUUCCAUUUGUCUACAUUGUUUUCUGCUAGAGUCACCCACCUAAAUUUGAAAUUAGGAUUUUUUUUUCGCCAUGUCAACUAUUAGUAGUCAAAGCAUGUCAAUAGAAGAAUGAAGCUAUUAUUCAAACCUUCUAUUAUGAUAAAAAUGUUGGUUAAGAUUUAGGGUACAAUAGGUUAUUGAUGAUAUCAGCAGGACCUCACCAAUGAUUAUGACAUUGACGAACACAUGCUAUUUUAUUUUGCUUUUGAAAAUAAUAUUUGCAUAAGAAUAAUAAAAAUAUUUUAUUUCGUUUUAGAUAUAUGCAAAGUAAACAUAAAGAAAACCAA